ensembl:miRNA
GGAGUGGAGUGGAGUGGAGUGGAGUGGAGUGGAGUGGACAGGACUCAGGACCCCAACACCCUGGUGCCUGGCUGUGUGGGCUGGACUGGUCGUUUCACGGCUGGUCUGCAUUUGCUCACCUGCACCGCCUCC